rnacentral:rRNA from 1 species
GACGAACGCUGGCGGCGUGCUUAACACAUGUAAGUCGAACGGAAAGGCCCCUUUGGGGGUACUCGAGUGGCGAACGGGUGAGUAACACGUGAGUAACCUGCCCUUGACUUCGGGAUAACUUCAGGAAACUGGGGCUAAUACCGGAUAGGAAUCCUUGCUGCAUGGUGGGGGUUGGAAAGCUUCGGCGGUUUUGGAUGGACUCGCGGCUUAUCAGCUUGUUGGUGGGGUAGUGGCUUACCAAGGCUUUGACGGGUAGCCGGCCUGGGAGGGCGACCGGCCACAUUGGGACUGAGAUACGGCCCAGACUCCUACGGGAGGCAGAAGUGGGGAAUAUUGCACAAGGGGCGGAAGCCUGAUGCAGCAACGCCGCGUGCGGGAAGACGGCCUUCGGGUUGUAAACCGCUUUCAGCAGGGGCGAAGCUUGUGGUGACGGUACCUGCAGAAGAAGCACCGGCUAACUACGUG